UGUUGCGAUGGUGGUCAGUGGUUGGCAGAAGUAAAUACAGUAACACUAACAACGGUGAAAAAAUCACCGAGACAAGGAAUGGGUACGGAAAACACCUCCGGGAUGCCCGCUGAAAAUGAAAUGCGCUACGGUAUAACAUUCGUGGUUAUUUGCGAGUGAUCUCCGCUGUUCGGAGAUUCGUAAGGAGCUCGGGGCGUUACAAUAAUACCGCUCGAUUGCGAUCUCGAUC